CACGUAAUGGUGGGCACUCUAAGGAGACUGCCGGUGACAAACCGGAGGAAGGUGGGGAUGACGUCAAGUCAUCAUGGCCCUUACGGCCUGGGCUACACACGUGCUACAAUGGUCGGUACAGAGGGUUGCCAAGCCGCGAGGUGGAGCUAAUCCCAUAAAACCGAUCGUAGUCCGGAUCGCAGUCUGCAACUCGACUGCGUGAAGUCGGAAUCGCUAGUAAUCGCGAAUCAGAAUGUCGCGGUGAAUACGUUCCCGGGCCUUGUACACACCGCCCGUCACACCAUGGGAGUGGGUUGCACCAGAAGUAGCUAGUCUAACCUUCGGGAG
rnacentral:rRNA from 1 species